rnacentral:rRNA from 1 species
UGCACCGAAGCUGCGGCAGCGACACUGUGUGUUGUUGGGUAGGGGAGCGUUCUGUAAGCCUGUGAAGGUGUGUCGUGAGGCAUGCUGGAGGUAUCAGAAGUGCGAAUGCUGACAUAAGUAACGAUAAAGCGGGUGAAAAGCCCGCUCGCCGGAAGACCAAGGGUUCCUGUCCAACGUUAAUCGGGGCAGGGUGAGUCGACCCCUAAGGCGAGGCCGAAAGGCGUAGUCGAUGGGAAACGGGUUAAUAUUCCCGUACUUGGUGUUACUGCGAAGGGGGGACGGAGAAGGCUAUGUUGGCCGGGCGACGGUUGUCCCGGUUUAAGCGUGUAGGUGUGUGUUCCAGGUAAAUCCGGUUCACUUUAACACUGAGGCGUGACGACGAGGCACUACGGUGCUGAAGCAACAAAUGCCCUGCUUCCAGGAAAAGCCUCUAAGCAUCAGGUAACAUCAAAUCGUACCCCAAACCGACACAGGUGGUCAGGUAGAGAAUACCAAGGCGCUUGAGAGAACUCGGGUGAAGGAACUAGGCAAAAUGGUGCCGUAACUUCGGGAGAAGGCACGCUGACACGUAGGUGAAGUGAUUUACUCAUGGAGCUGAAGUCAGUCGAAGAUACCAGCUGGCUGCAACUGUUUAUUAAAAACACAGCACUGUGCAAACACGAAAGUGGACGUAUACGGUGUGACGCCUGCCCGGUGCCGGAAGGUUAAUUGAUGGGGUCAGCGCAAGCGAAGCUCCUGAUCGAAGCCCCGGUAAACGGCGGCCGUAACUAUAACGGUCCUAAGGUAGCGAAAUUCCUUGUCGGGUAAGUUCCGACCUGCACGAAUGGCGUAAUGAUGGCCAGGCUGUCUCCACCCGAGACUCAGUGAAAUUGAACUCGCUGUGAAGAUGCAGUGUACCCGCGGCAAGACGGAAAGACCCCGUGAACCUUUACUAUAGCUUGACACUGAACAUUGAGCCUUGAUGUGUAGGAUAGGUGGGAGGCUUUGAAGUGUGGACGCCAGUCUGCAUGGAGCCGACCUUGAAAUACCACCCUUUAAUGUUUGAUGUUCUAACGUGGACCCGUUACCCGGGUUGCGGACAGUGUCUGGUGGGUAGUUUGACUGGGGCGGUCUCCUCCUAAAGAGUAACGGAGGAGCACGAAGGUUGGCUAAUCCUGGUCGGACAUCAGGAGGUUAGUGCAAUGGCAUAAGCCAGCUUGACUGCGAGCGUGACGGCGCGAGCAGGUGCGAAAGCAGGUCAUAGUGAUCCGGUGGUUCUGAAUGGAAGGGCCAUCGCUCAACGGAUAAAAGGUACUCCGGGGAUAACAGGCUGAUACCGCCCAAGAGUUCAUAUCGACGGCGGUGUUUGGCACCUCGAUGUCGGCUCAUCACAUCCUGGGGCUGAAGUAGGUCCCAAGGGUAUGGCUGUUCGCCAUUUAAAGUGGUACGCGAGCUGGGUUUAGAACGUCGUGAGACAGUUCGGUCCCUAUCUGCCGUGGGCGCUGGAGAACUGAGGGGGGCUGCUCCUAGUACGAGAGGACCGGAGUGGACGCAUCACUGGUGUUCGGGUUGUCAUGCCAAUGGCACUGCCCGGUAGCUAAAUGCGGAAGAGAUAAGUGCUGAAAGCAUCUAAGCACGAAACUUGCCCCGAGAUGAGUUCUCCCUGAGACUUAAAGUCUCCUGAAGGAACGUUGAAGACGACGACGUUGAUAGGCCGGGUGUGUAAGCGCAGCGAUGCGUUGAGCUAACCGGUACUAAUGAACCGUGAGGCU